AACGCGAAGAACCUUACCUACUCUUGACAUCCUCGGAAGCUUUCAGAGAUGAGAGUGUGCCUUCGGGAACCGAGAGACAGGUGCUGCAUGGCUGUCGUCAGCUCGUGUCGUGAGAUGUUGGGUUAAGUCCCGUAACGAGCGCAACCCCUAUCAUUAGUUGCCAUCGGGUAAUGCCGGGAACUCUAAUGAGACUGCCGGUGAUAAGCCGGAGGAAGGCGGGGAUGACGUCAAGUCAUCAUGGCCCUUACGAGUAGGGCUACACACGUGCUACAAUGGGCGGUACAGAGGGAAGCGAAGCCGCGAGGUGAAGCGAAUCUCAAGAAAGCCGCUCGUAGUCCGGAUUGGAGUCUGCAACUCGACUCCAUGAAGUUGGAAUCGCUAGUAAUCGCGGAUCAGAACGCCGCGGUGAAUACGUUCCCGGGCCUUGUACACACCGAGACGUA
rnacentral:rRNA from 1 species